rnacentral:rRNA from 1 species
UACGUAGGUGGCAAGCGUUGUCCGGAUUUACUGGGCGUAAAGAGCGCGCAGGCGGUUGCGCAAGUCGCGUGUGAAAGCCCCCGGCUCAACUGGGGAGGGUCGUGCGAUACGGGCGGACUGGAGGCCAGUAGGGGGAUGCGGAAUUCCGGGUGUAGUGGUGGAAUGCGUAGAGAUCCGGAGGAACACCAGCGGCGAAGGCGGCAUCCUGGACUGGUCCUGACACUCAGGAGCGAAAGCGUGGGGAGCGAUCCGG